AGCAGCCGCGGUAAUUCCAGCUCCAAUAGCGUAUAUUAAAGUUGCUGCAGUUAAAAGCUCGUAGUUGAAUUUCGGGACUAAUAUGUCGGUCGUGCCUCGGUACGUACUGGUUUAUUGGUUUCUCCUUUCUGAAGAACCAUGAUGUCAUUUAUUUGGUGUCGUGGGGAAUCAGGACUGUUACUUUGAAAAAUUAGAGUGUUUAAAGCAGGCUCACGCUUGAAUACAUUAGCAUGGAAUAAUGAAAUAGGACGUUUGAUUCUAUUUUGUUGGUUUCUAGGAUCGACGUAAUGAUUAAUAGGGAUAGUUGGGGGCAUUAGUAUUCAAUUGUCAGAGGUGAAAUUCUUGGAUUUAUUGAAGACUAACUACUGCGAAAGCAUUUGCCAAGGAUGUUUUCAUUAAUCAAGAACGAAAGUUAGGGAUCGAAGACGAUCAGAUACCGUCGUAGUCUUAACCAUAAACUAUGCCGACUAGGGAUCGGAUGAUGUUAAUUUUUUAAUGACUCAUUCGGCGCCUUAACC
rnacentral:misc_RNA from 1 species